CGUGACUAGGAGGCGCCGCACGCGGAGUCGGCCCCAGCCUGGGGCUGAGCCAAGCUGUCAGCCUGGACUGGCUGAGGCUUGGGAGGGGCCCUUAGGAGGGGAACGGGGGUGCUCAGGAUUCAGAGGAAGAGCGAAACAGCUGAGCUGCCGGGCUCCAGGGAGAUGACAUUGUAUAUUGCUGUAUGCUUUCAUCAGGGCCUCUCUCCUGGGCCAGAUGUGCCACAGAUUGUCACAGCGCCAGGAGCAGAAGGGGACACUUGGGUUUAGCAGUUAAAAGCUGGGCAACUCCUCCACGCCAGUCCUGACAACUUCUCCUGGGAUCUGGGACAGAAAGAACACUCAGGCCCUUCGCAGUGGCUCAUGCCUGUAAUCCCAACACUCUGGGAGGCCAAGGCCGGUGGAUUGCGUGAGCUCAGUGAUUGG